rnacentral:rRNA from 1 species
AUUGAACGCUGGCGGCAGGCCUAACACAUGCAAGUCGAGCGGAUGAAGGGAGCUUGCUCCUGGAUUCAGCGGCGGACGGGUGAGUAAUGCCUAGGAAUCUGCCUGGUAGUGGGGGAUAACGUCCGGAAACGGGCGCUAAUACCGCAUACGUCCUGAGGGAGAAAGUGGGGGAUCUUCGGACCUCACGCUAUCAGAUGAGCCUAGGUCGGAUUAGCUAGUUGGUGGGGUAAAGGCCUACCAAGGCGACGAUCCGUAACCGGUCUGAGAGGAUGAUCAGUCACACUGGAACUGAGACACGGUCCAGACUCCUACGGGAGGCAGCAGUGGGGAAUAUUGGACAAUGGGCGAAAGCCUGAUCCAGCCAUGCCGCGUGUAUGAAGAAGGUCUUCGGAUUGUAAAGCACUUUAAGUUGGGAGGAAGGGCAGUAAGUUAAUACCUUGCUGUUUUGACGUUACCAACAGAAUAAGCACCGGCUAACUUCGUG